UACGUAGGUGGCAAGCGUUGUCCGGAUUUACUGGGCGUAAAGAGCGCGCAGGCGGUCGUUCAAGCCGCGUGUGAAAGCCCCCGGCUCAACUGGGGAGGGUCACGCGAUACUGAUCGACUGGAAGGCAGGAGAGGGUAGUGGAAUUCCCGGUGUAGUGGUGAAAUGCGUAGAUAUCGGGAGGAACACCAGUGGCGAAGGCGACUACCUGGCCUGUUCUUGACGCUGAGGCGCGAAAGCUAGGGGAGCAAACGGG
rnacentral:rRNA from 1 species